AUGACUCACAUUCUUACUUAUUUUUAGAAACCAGCAUGAAACUAUGGGCUGAACAAUAGCUUGGGUUUCUGCUGUGAUCUGGAUCGGUGGGAGUGGCCCCCACUAUCUGCUCUGAGAUGUAUUAGCUGGUCUCCUUUUUAGCCACAAGGACUAGGUGACUGAUCUCCAAACAAGUGAACCUGAAUGGAUUUAGACAGAUUAACAUUCUAACAGCAAGAAGCAGUUUGGGGAAGAAAAAGCAAAUCCUGUGGCCCUUGUUAGCAUAGUGAAACACACACACAACACAUUCAAUAAAACCCCUCUCUCUGAGGCCUGGCUUUGUAAAUAUUAGCUUUAUAAAGGUAUAUCAGGUUAAAAAGGAGUUGCUUUGAAGAGCAGUUACCAUCAGGAUCUGGCCUCAGCUCCUUAUGUGACCUUUCCUUCCUCUUUCCAUCUUACUCCACCCUAGCCACAGGGCUGUCGGGCAUUCCCUUGGUAUGCCAAGCCUUGUGGUGCCUCAGGGCCAUUACACUGCUGUUCCUCAUGGCCUGGAGCAUCCUGCCUCUAGUUCCUGCCUUAAUUCACUCAGAUCGCUGCUUGAGUGGCAUCUUCUGGAGUGUCUUUCCCUGACCAUCUUAUUUAAAGCAGUUGUGCUGCCUGCCUGUCACUCUCUCGUUACUCUGCUUCCUUUUUCACCAUAACACUUCGACCACCUCAUGGGCCUCACGCAUGAGAAUAUAUUUAUUUGUUUGUUUGUUUGUUAUCAUCUGUCUCCUGCACUAGCAUGUAAGCUCUCGGAGGGCAGAGAAGCUGUGUUUCCUUUCUUCUUUGCUGUAUCUCCUGUGUCGAAAACAAUUCAUGGCACACAGCAGGGACUCAAAUAUUCAUUGAAUGAAUGAAUGCAUCAGAAACAAAAGUAUUGUGUCUGUUUAAACAUUUGUCACUCUUGAGGUAUCCCUGCAUCCAAUUUUUUUUCUCUUUUUUUAUAGCAUUUGCUAACCUGUUCAAUAUGGAAAAGACACUUGACUGCAUGGUUGUGCAAAGUCUGGGAUAAAAAGGAUUAAACACUAGAGAGUGUGGUAUAAGGAUGAAGUUCUUCAUCGCCUUUCCAGAGUUGUGUGACCUUUGAAAAGUCAUUUAUUUCUCUUGGCCCCAGAUAUCGACAUUUCUGCUCAUGUGAACUCUGUUUCUGAGCCCGGAAACUUCGACAUUCAACAACGAAAACUGAUGAGGGCUCCCAGGGUCGAUGAGCCUCACGUCAUCAUCCAGUCCCUGUUUCAUCAGACAUUCAAAUAGGAUUAUCCAUAUUUCUAUUUGGAUGCUUACUUUGAUUACAACAUUGAAAAAUUCACCAUUAUUGUUGUUUCUACUGCCUUAAUACCGUUAUUGUUGUAUUAAUAAUGAAUAUUGUAUGGAACACUUGUAUAUUGCCACUCACAAAGUAUCUUUUAAAAGAGUACCUUAUUUGAUCUGUAUUACUGUCCUUUGGGGAAGUACAGGAGGGUAGAUAAAAGAAUAAGAUUCAGAGUUUUACCAAGUUGUCUUUCUUUUUGAAAGAUUGGUUCUGAGCUAACAUCUUUUCCCAAUCUUUUUUUUUCCUUCUCUCCAAAGCCCCCCAGUACAUAGUUGUAUAUUCUAGUUGUAGGUCCCUCUGUUUGUACUAUGUGAGACGCCGCCUCAGCAUGGCCUGAUGAGCGGUGCUAUGUCCGCACCCAGGAUCCAAACCUGCGAAACCCUGGGCAGCCGAAUUGGAGCGUAGGAACUUAACCACUCGGCCACCAGGCCGGCCCCUCAAGUUGGCUUUGAAUCCCAGCUCUAUUCUUAAAUUUGGUUAGUCUCGAUGUCCUUAAGGGUAAAAUGGAGAUAGUACAACCUAACUCACACAGUUGUGGGUGGAUUUGGAGAAAUGAUACACAGAGCCUAGCUCAGUGACUGGGACAUAAAAGAACCCCAUAAAUGGUAGCUAUUACUUCUGUUGUUAUAAUUAUUCUCCUUUUCUACACAAGGAAACUGACGCUCAAAGAGAUGAAGAGAUUUACUGGGGAUUGUUUAUGCCAUUAGUAAUAAAGCUGUGGUUCAACUAUAAGUCUUCUGGAGUCAAAACCUGUCUGUGUUCUUUCCACAGUAUGACAUUGCCACCCAAAAGAACUCUUUUAGUAGACUAAAAGUGCCUAGUUUUGUUAUUUAACUUGUUUAAAAGAUAUUGGUUGUUUUUAAAAUAAAUUUUAUUUGAUGUU
rnacentral:lncRNA from 1 species